CAAAAGGGUGUUUGCCUCUUUAUGGCACCCAAGUCUAAGAGACUUGUGGGGUAUGGCAAUCAAGACAUACCCAACACAUAAUUUUUUUGGCCAUGGGGGCAGUUUCUUGGCAAUGUACCAGAGACGCCUCC